UCAUUCGGCAAGUCGCUAUUCAUGUUUUAGCUCUCCUUCUUUUGCCCUAGGCUUUAGGUUUUUGAACCUCAGUCGGUGAGCUCGUUCGAGUUUGCCUUUCACAUUCGGCGUAUCACCGAGUACCGUCUAAUUAGUUUGCCUUUCGAGCCUUCAAUUUUUCUCCUUGCACUCUCGCUUUAAGAGAUGAUCAACAUGCCGCC
rnacentral:lncRNA from 1 species